AAAAGUCUCGCUGAACUAUUUCCGAGACCGCCUGCGGACAGCACACAGACCGUCCAGACAGCACACUGACUGUCCCUACAGCACACUGACUGUCCCUCUAGUGACAAACCUCCGGAGUGCACAGCUUGCGAGGAGCGACCCCUCCAAGCGCAGACAGGCUAUGUGAGCACGAUCAACUCACGACCAACAGCAACCUACCCUUUAAGGGUAAUCUCAUCAUAGAAUCAAGGUGUUCUUGUACCCAAUCUCAUAGUGUCUCAACUAUAC
rnacentral:lncRNA from 1 species